rnacentral:rRNA from 1 species
CAGUAGCCGCGGGAAUACGAAGGGGGCUAGCGUUGCUCGGAAUGACUGGGCGUAAAGGGCGCGUAGGCGGCAUGUACAGUCAGACGUGAAAUUCCUGGGCUUAACCUGGGGGCUGCGUUUGAUACGUGCAGGCCAGAGUGGGGAAGAGGGUUGUGGAAUUCCCAGUGUAGAGGUGAAAUUCGUAGAUAUUGGGAAGAACACCGGUGGCGAAGGCGGCAACCUGGUCCUUGACUGACGCUGAGGCGCGAAAGCGUGGGGAGCAAACAGGAUUAGAUACCCCGGUAGUCCCUGUCUCUUAUAC